rfam:Oryza barthii chromosome 3, whole genome shotgun sequence.
UUUAAGUGCAAUCAUGAGUUUCCACGCCCAACUUUAAUCAUCUGUUUUCUUUAAACUUUUUAUAAAUAGUAUUUUUAUUGCUAUGAGAUUAUAAAAUUUAAAUAAGACGGAUGAUUAAAGUUAGACACGAAAACUCAUAGCUACACUUACA